GCCGGGCGCGGUGGCGCACGCCUGUAAUCCCUCAGGCUCGGGAGGCUGAGGCUGGAGGAUCGCGAGUUCAAAGCCAGCCUCAGCAAUGGCGAGGCGCUAAGCAACUCAGUGAAAGCCUGUCUCUA
rnacentral:sRNA from 1 species